AUCAGACACCCUAUAUCUUAUUCCCUGUUCUCUUCCCCCAGUGCCUCCCGAGGUGACUGUGUCCUGCCAGAGUGCUCCAGAAGACAGUGUCACCCGUCCUGCUGGCCACUGGCUUUUGCCCUUCCUCUGUCUUGCUUCACUGGAAGAAGGACUAGUUGCUGGCAGGAAUCCGAAACAAGUGAAGGCUCCAAGAGCCAAGAGGAGGUAUCCUGAUGUGGCAGAAAGAUUUGAGCUACCAGCUUGGUGAGAAGUUCGCAGCGACCUUCAGAGAAAUUUCACACCCUGCGGAAUUUCUGCAAGAACCCCUUUCCCACUUCCUGCCCUUAACCUCCACUCUUUGCUAGACCUGCCCUGUGGCGACCACAAAAAUGCAGCUGUCGGAUCUCCAACUCCGGGGGUGUAAUUGACCGAGGUUCUCAGCUGCUGCGCUCUGAAACCCAUCACUUCCUUGGUGCUGAGGCCACGGUUCCCACAGCUGCUCCCAGCCAGAGGCAGAGGGCAGUGGGGACACUAUGGCGGGAUACUAAGGGAAUGCUGGGGAAAUGUGAGAAUCCUUUGACGGGUCACUUUGGCUCCAGGACUUCCCAUUGGCCUUACCAAACACUCCUUAGAUGACCAGCAGCCUGGAACACUUCCACCCAACCUCCUCUCCUCUCUUCUUCCUUGGGGUCAUACUUGCAUUGGUGGUCUGAUGGCUCCCAUCUUCUUCCAGCCCCUUCCAGAUUUCCCCCCACAGGCAUUUCUGCUAAUAAACCUAUUGCAUGUUU